CAGUAGCCGCGGGAAUACGGAGGAUCCAAGCGUUAUCCGGAAUCAUUGGGUUUAAAGGGUCCGUAGGCGUUCUUGUAAGUCAGUGGUGAAAGCCCAUCGCUCAACGGUGGAACGGCCAUUGAUACUGCAGGACUUGAAUUAUUGGGAAGUAACUAGAAUAUGUAGUGUAGCGGUGAAAUGCUUAGAGAUUACAUGGAAUACCAAUUGCGAAGGCAGGUUACUACCAAUUGAUUGACGCUGAUGGACGAAAGCGUGGGUAGCGAACAGGAUUAGAUACCCGCGUAGUCCCUGUCUCUUAUAC
rnacentral:rRNA from 1 species